CCUACGGGUGACAGCAGUGAGGAAUAUUGGUCAAUGGACGAGAGUCUGAACCAGCCAAGUAGCGUGAAGGAUGACUGCCCUCUGGGUUGUAAACUUCUUUUAUAUGGGAAUAAAAUGUUCCACGUGUGGGAUUUUGUAUGUACCAUCUGAAUAAGGAUCGGCUAACUCCGUGCCAGCAGCCGCUGUAAUACGGAGGAUCCGAGCGUUAUCCGGAUUUAUUGGGUUUAAAGGGAGCGUAGGUGGAUUGGUAAGUCAGUUGUGAAAGUUUGCGGCUCAACCGUAAAAUUGCAGUUGAAACUGGCAGGCUGGAGUACAGUAGAGGUGGGUGGAAUUCGUGGUGUAGCGGUGAAAUGCUUAGAUAUCACGAAGAACUCCGAUUGCGAAGGCAGCUCACUGGACUGCAACUGACACUGAGGCUCGAAAGUGUGGGUAGCAAACAGGAUUAGAUACCCUUGUAGUC
rnacentral:rRNA from 1 species